rnacentral:rRNA from 1 species
CGCUGGCGGCAUGCCUUACACAUGCAAGUCGAACGGCAGCGCGGGGCAACCUGGCGGCGAGUGGCGAACGGGUGAGUAAUAUAUCGGAACGUACCCUGGAGUGGGGGAUAACGUAGCGAAAGUUACGCUAAUACCGCAUACGAUCUAAGGAUGAAAGCAGGGGACCGCAAGGCCUUGUGCUCCUGGAGCGGCCGAUAUCUGAUUAGCUAGUUGGUAGGGUAAAAGCCUACCAAGGCAUCGAUCAGUAGCUGGUCUGAGAGGACGACCAGCCACACUGGAACUGAGACACGGUCCAGACUCCUACGGGAGGCAGCAGUGGGGAAUUUUGGACAAUGGGCGCAAGCCUGAUCCAGCAAUGCCGCGUGAGUGAAGAAGGCCUUCGGGUUGUAAAGCUCUUUUGUCAGGGAAGAAACGGUGAGGGCUAAUAUCCUUUGCUAAUGACGGUACCUGAAGAAUAAGCACCGGCU